rnacentral:ncRNA from 1 species
ACCUAAGGUAGAGGUGCUAUAAUGAUGAGUAUUUAUAAGGAGUCGGCAGAUAUUGAUUUAUAAAAAAAGGCAUUGUAGCCGAAGAAAUAAUUUUUAUGCGAAAAAUUAUUUUUGGGGGUGUAUAGAAUAUAUACAUAACUGUCACUAACGUGGAGAGCUACAAGGUGG